rnacentral:rRNA from 1 species
AGCAGCCGCGGUAAUUCCAGCUCCAAUAGCGUAUAUUAAAGUUGUUGCAGUUAAAAAGCUCGUAGUUGAAUUUCGGGAUCAAUGUUUUGGUCAUGCCGUUGGUAUGUACUGAUAUUAUUGAUUUCUCACCUUCUAAAGAACCGUAAUGCCAUUAAUUUGGUGUCACGGGGAAUUAGGACUGUUACCUUGAAAAAUUAGAGUGUUUAAAGCAAGCUAACGCUUGAAUACAUUAGCAUGGAAUAAUGAAAUAGGACGUUCGAUCCUAUUUUGUUGGUUUCUAGGAUUGACGUUAAUGAUUAAUAGGGAUAGUUGGGGGCAUUAGUAUUCAAUUGUCAGAGGUGAAAUUCUUGGAUUUAUUGAAGACUAACUACUGCGAAAGCAUUUGCCAAGGAUGUUUUCAUUAAUCAAGAACGAAAGUUAGGGGAUCGAAGACGAUCAGAUACCGUCGUAGUCUUAACCAUAAACUAUGCCGACUAGGGAUCGGAUGAUGUUAAUUUUUAAUGACUCAUUCGGCGCCUUA